GUGUAAUAUACAUGUUACCGUUUACUGUUUCAUGCAGGAGGUCAUGGUGUAUAAUAUAAAUGUUACCAUUUACUGUUUCAUGCAGGAGGUCAUGGUGUGAAUAUCUGCCCCCUGCCAAAGUUUCCCACCUCUGGGGUAGAACUCCUCUUCCUGAAGCUUCCUUCUGGGAAAUGGAACCAAUCCUGUAUCACCCCUCGAUGUCUCCAGACCCAGGGACCUGAAUUCGAUUGGUAUUCCAGGACUAAGAAGAAGGAAAGAACAGCUGCUUAUUACAUGUCUGCAGAAUCCUGCUUGAGGGUUCUAUAUAGCUGGGGGAUGAGGGCCUCCCAAACUUACGAUCGCCUGAUACACAUCGCUCAGGCUCCACGAAAAAUUCAAGGACGAACAAGUCGCCUUCACAGAAUGCGCCACCAGGAACAUGUGCGACAUGGGAGUGAGAGCGCUGUUUGCUGCUGGCCGUAAUGUGGACAUCAAGGUCAACAUAUGCAGCCGUGCGCUUGGAAUCUCUAAAGGAAAGCACACUAUAGAAACAAGAGGAUGCAUGAGGAGGAAAGAAAACCUCAACAAUAAAUAUGGACUAAAUGAAUAAAAUGGCUAAAGA
rnacentral:lncRNA from 1 species